UUUGAAUAUAAUAAAAAUAUUCAAUAAAAUAAACUAUUUUCUUGUAAAAUAAUUUUUAUAAAGCUAUCGGUAAAUAAUUCUUAUAGCGUAAAAGUUAAUUAUAUUCAUAUAUACUAUAAAGAAAAUAACCAAAGCAUAAAAUUACUUUUACAGCGACACGUGGGCCCACAUCUAACCAAAAUGUAUCGAAAGCUGAAAACCUACAGCUUUUGCCGAUUCAAGUCCAAAUGAAGGUCCUUGUCAAAGUCAGCUAACUAUGGAAUUCCUCGAGUCUAAAAUGUGAUGAAAUGAGGGUGGUGAGAUUAUAAAAUCCCAGUGAGUAAACAUACACCAUCUAAACUAUCUAAAGGCGAGUAAAUGGAAACGAAUUAAAAUAAGUUAUCAUACUGUAAUUCAUUACCAUUCAACUCAUUUCAACCAAAUAAACAAAUAGGCUUAUGAUUUCCUGAAAAGCUUGGCUCGUGCUAAAAAUCAUUCUCAUACUCAGUUAUCAAGGAUACCUUGAUCGAGGGUUAUCCCAACCGAGUUAGCCAAGGCUGUUAAAUGUCUUUACAUCUGAAAUUUUAGCCAUGUCUUGGCGUUGGCUGAGUCUCACUCUCACGCGGUGGUCCACAUGAAGUGCACUCAAAUCUUUACCUCAGGAGAUACUUCAUCCAACAUCUCCUCCCGAAGGUAAAUAUAUAAUUGAGUUACCGUGCCCCUUUCAAUUAAUGUCAAGCAUUGAGGAAAAACACACCUCUCCAACAGUUGUUGUCACGACUCGGAACUCCCAUCGAGCCCGUGACAAUCGCCGCGAAGCCUCGACAAACAUUCUUCACCCCGAAUGUCGAUCGAAACCUCGCUAGGCUCUCAUAUCAGCUUUCGCACUUCCUUGGUGAGCAAUAGUUAUCAAAUAUCGUAAUUCGAAAGAUUAUGAGUCAUUUCCAAAUCAGAACAUAACAUAUUGUUUUCUGGCUCACAGCGGUAUUUUCGUCAUUUUUCAUCGAAAAUCUUAAAACUUACUAAAAAUGUUGUAGGUAAGCAGAAAAUAUAUAUUUAGUGAUUUAAAAACAAAUUAAGUAUAUAAAACAUUCAUUUGAAGUGAAAAUUUGACCAUUUGAAUAUAAUAAAAAUAUUCAAUAAAAUAAACUAUUUUCUUGUAAAAUAAUUUUUAUAAAGCUAUCGGUAAAUAAUUCUUAUAGCGUAAAAGUUAAUUAUAUUCAUAUAUACUAUAAAGAAAAUAACCAAAGCAUAAAAUUAUUUUUACAGCGACACGUGGGCCCACAUCUAACCAAAAUGUAUCGAAAGUUGAAAACCUACAGCUUUUGCCGAUUCAAGUCCAAAUGAAGGUCCUUGUCAAAGUCAGCUAACUAUGGAAUUCCUCGAGUCUAAAAUGUGAGGAAAUGAGGGUGGUGAGAUUAUAAAAUCCCAGUGAGUAAACAGACACCAUCUAAACUAUCUAAAAGCGAGUAAAUAGAGACGAAUUAAAAUAAGUCAUCAUACUGUAAUUUCAUUACCAUUCAACUCAUUUCAACCAAAUAAACAAAUAGGCUUAUGAUUUCCUGAAAAGCUUGGCUCGUGCCAAAAAUCAUUCUCAUACUCAGUUAUCAGGGAUACCUUGAUCGAGGGUUAUCCCAACCGAGUCCGCCAAGGCUAUUAAAU
rnacentral:lncRNA from 1 species